AUGGCGUCGGCGACGUCGACGGCGGAGCUGGAGGCCGCCAUCGCCGCCCUCCCCGCCAAGAAGCAGCGCCUGCGGGAGUCCUUCGACCGCCUCCUCGCCGCCUCCCCCAUCCCCGUCCCCUUCACCUGGGCCGACGUAGACGCCCACAUCUCCUCCCUCCAGGCCUCCAUCGCCCGACGCUUCCGCCAGCUCCAGGCGCACCAGGCCGCCGCGCUCCGGUCCACCGCCGACCCCGUCCAGCACCUGCUGAGGGGCAAGGGCCAAGACAGCAGCGAGGAGGACGAAGAUUGGGCGCGGCCCAAUCGCGCGCCUUCGGACCUCAAUGCCGGGGAGGAGGGGUCGCAGGGGGAAGAUGGGGGGCGGGCCAAGCGGGCACCUUCGGACCUCACUGACGAGGAGGAGGGGGAGCAGGGGAGGGCGGAGAUGGCAAUCGAGGGGUCUCCCGGCCAAGACGACGCCGUUGAAGACUGGGAGGCGUCUCCUGGCCUUGAACCAGAGGAGGAAGAGGAAGAGGAGCGGGAGGAGGAGACCAUCCUAGGGGCGUACCCAAGCCAUCGCCACGGGGAGACGACGGGGAAGGCGCCGAGCAGCUGGCGGACGCCGGACCACGCAGGCGGCGCGGGGGAGGCCGUGAGGUGGAACCUCGCGGCGGCGCGCGCCGACAGGGACGCCUCGCUGCUGGCGGACAUGCUGUACUGGGGCAACAAGAGGAGCCUGCGCGCCCGGCGGCAGUUCCUCCCGGCGCUGCUGUGCGCCGCGGAGCCCCACGCGCUGGUCGUCGGCGCCGUCAGGGACUUCCUGGCCAGGGCCGAGCCCAAGAGCGACAAGAACUGGGAGAACUGCGCCUCGCUCCUCUGCUGCGUCCCCAGCCUCAGGGCCGAGCCGUCGGCGGCCACGCUGGAGCGGGCCAGACGGCUGGCCGAGGACUGGAGGGAGAUGAUCAUCGGCAGGCCUGAAACUUGCAGGGACCUCGGCCGGCUCGCCGUAUGGGGCCUUCUGCAGUUUCUUGCCUCGUACAAAAUCACCUUGGAGCUGGACGCCGAUGGGAUAAACCAUCUCCUCGCCGACGUCCCGCGCAACAAAAAGCAGAGCUGCAUCGAGCUCCGCAAUGGUCUCGGGCUGAUCCACGCCAUGGCUGACUCGGCCGACCAUCUGAUUGAGAAUGGGAAGCCAGUUGAUGCUACCAGCCAUCUGAUUGAGAAUGGGAAGCCACUUGAUGCUAUAAAACUGGCGUGUGAUUUGAAUCUGACCGACAAAUAUCCUCCACUUUCCCUCAUGAAUGAUUAUGUUGGCAAAGCUAAGAAGACUGCUCAGGAGAUAUUGAGCAGGGAAGGCGAUUCACGGGACUCUCUGAACCAGGCCAUGGCGAGGCAGGUGAACGCCCUGAUACUGUCGUGGAGGGCGGUGGACGAGCACGUCGACGUCGCGCACCGCACCGGCAUCAAGGCGGAGAUCACCCAGCUGCUGCACGGGUACGCGCGCAAGCGGCAGAGCCUGUCGGUGCCGGUCGGCUCUUCCUCCUCCUCCUCCCCGCCUGCCUGGAGCCCGCAGCGGCGGCGUCAGGAGCUGCCGCCGGAAGAGGAGGAGGCCCGGCAGAAGCAGCACAAGAAGCGGAAGCAGAAGCCGCACUGGCUGCAGCGGGAGGAGCGGCAGCACCGGUUCCACGAGCAGCCCAGGUUCUUGCCCCGGUGCGUCGGUGCCCGGCCGGGGCACGACGCCGGCGGGGGCCGUGAUCGUGGCGGCGAGGGGCUCCCGGGGGUCCGUGGAGGGCCUCCUCGGUGCCCUGGUAGCCCGUAUUAG
rnacentral:rRNA from 1 species